UACAGAGGUCUCAACCGUUGUUCGGAUUCAUUGGGCGUAAAGGGUGCGUAGGCGGUCGUGCAAGUCGGAUGUGAAAUCUCAGGGCUCAACCCUGAAACUGCAUUCGAUACUGCGCGGCUAGAGUGCUGGAGGGGAGACUGGAAUUUACGGUGUAGCAGUGAAAUGCGUAGAUAUCGUAAGGAAGACCAGUGGCGAAGGCGAGUCUCUGGACAGUUACUGACGCUGAGGCACGAAGGCCAGGGGAGCAAACGGG
rnacentral:rRNA from 1 species